rnacentral:rRNA from 1 species
UACAGAGGGGGCAAGCGUUGUUCGGAAUUACUGGGCGUAAAGGGCGCGUAGGCGGCCUUCUAAGUCGAACGUGAAAUCCCUGGGCUCAACCCAGGAACUGCGUCCGAUACUGGAGGGCUUGAAUCCGGGAGAGGGAUGCGGAAUUCCAGGUGUAGCGGUGAAAUGCGUAGAUAUCAGGAGGAACACCGGUGGCGAAGGCGGCUUUCUGGACAGAUACCGACGCUGAGGCACGAAAGCUAGGGGAGCAAACAGG